GAUCUCAUAGGUCCCAUGAGCUCUACCGGAAGGGGCGUGACUUCGCCACUCUAUGCUUGGUACCUUGCAAUGGAGGCACCGUUUGACUUCACUGUUAAAGACAUGCCAGUCCUCAGAAAAUGGUGGUGCACAGUACUGCUUGAGAACUUCCACCUGGAUGGGCACGGCAGAAGGUUCCCACACUUCAUGGAGGAGGCCAAACAAAUGGCGGCUGGACUACAUCCACCAGUCUUCAGACUGAAGCGAAGGGGAGGAGGAG